rnacentral:tRNA from 1 species
CAUUAGAUAACUUAAAAGCAAGUACUGGUCUCUUAAACCAUAAAAUAGUAAAUUCGUGAUUACUUCUAAUGA